GCAGACACAUUCCAGCCAAUCAGCAGCAGACCCUCCCUCCCAGACCCUCCCACCUCCUGGACAGCAUCAAUUGUGAAGCUGCAUUCUUAGUGAGCUGUCCAGGAGGUGGGAGGGUCUGGGAGGGAGGGUCUGCUGCUGAUUGGCUGGAAUGUGUCUG
rnacentral:miRNA from 1 species